rnacentral:rRNA from 1 species
AGCAGCCGCGGUAAUUCCAGCUCCAAUAGCGUAUAUUAAAGUUGUUGCAGUUAAAAAGCUCGUAGUUGAAUUUCGGGAUUAGUACGCUGGUCGUGCCUUCGGUAUGUACUGGUGUUACUGGUUCCUACCUUCUGACGAACCGUCAUGUCAUUAAUUUGGUGUGGCGGGGAAUCAGGACUGUUACUUUGAAAAAAUUAGAGUGUUUAAAGCAGGCUCGCGCUUGAAUACAUUAGCAUGGAAUAAUGAAAUAGGACGUUCGAUCUUAUUUUGUUGGUUUCUAAGAUUGACGUAAUGAUUAAUAGGGAUAGUUGGGGGCAUUAGUAUUCAAUUGUCAGAGGUGAAAUUCUUGGAUUUAU